AGAAUCAACGCUGGCGGCGUGCCUCAGACAUGCAAGUCGAACGCGAAAGUCCCCUUCGGGGGACAAGUAGGGUGGCGCACGGGUGAGUAACACGUAGGUAAUCUACCUUCAGAUGGGGAAUAACAACCGGAAACGGUUGCUAAUACCGCAUAAUGCAGCGGCACCUAAUGGUGACAGUUGUUAAAGCGGGGGAUCGAAAGACCUCGCGUCUGAAGAGGAGCCUGCGGCGGAUUAGCUAGUUGGUAGGGUAACGGCCUACCAAGGCGACGAUCC
rnacentral:rRNA from 1 species